rnacentral:lncRNA from 1 species
CUAUUCAAGAAUCGAAAAACUUGAACCAAUUUCCACUUGAAGAACUAAUUGGUUCAUUGAUCACAUAUGAAAUGACGUGCAAUGCACGUGAAGAACUUGAGAACCACCUUCCAAAGAACAGGAAGGAUUUGGAACUCUGGACAAAUGAAUACCACUUGAGCGAUGACGCAAGUGAUGAGGACAAUAAUGAACUUGAACUUCGAACACUAAAUCUUAAUAAGUUUAUUAAACAAAAAUCUAAAAUAGACAAUGAACUUGAUCGAAGGAAGAGGCCAAAGAAGAGGAAGGCAACCGAGGAG